UACUAGAGUAGCACUCGCAUAUCAAUAAGCGGAGGAAAAGAAACUAACAAGGAUUCCCCUAGUAACGGCGAGUGAAGCGGGAAGAGCUCAAAUUUGAAAUCUUAAAGGGUUUCCCUUUACGAAUUGUAGUUUAAAGAAGUGUUUUCUGUUGAGGUUUUGGUAAAAGUUCUUUGGAAUAGGGACAUCAUAGAGGGUGAGAAUCCCGUAUUUGACCUUUACUUUCAACUUUGUGAUACACUUUCAAAGAGUCGGAUUGUUUGGGAAUGCAGUCCAAAAUGGGUGGUAAAUUUCAUCUAAAGCUAAAUAUUGGCGAGAGACCGAUAGCGAACAAGUACCGUGAGGGAAAGAUGAAAAGAACUUUGAAAAGAGAGUUAAACAGUACGUGAAAUUGUCAAAAGGGAAGCGUUUGACACCAGUGUUGUUUUUCUGAAAAUCAAUUAAAGAACUGUUUAUGCUAAGCUGUUUAGACUUUAUCAGCUAUCUGUUUAGUUUUGAGCUUUUCUUUAAUGCACUUUUCAGUUAACAAGUCAACAUCAAUUUCUUUUGCUGUAAAAAAGCUUGAGGAAGGUGGCUUGAGAUUCGUCUUAAGUGUUUAUAGCCUCUUGCCUAUGCAGUCGGAGAGAUUGAGGUCUGCAGCGUAGAUCCUUCGGGGCUAAAUGCAUUUGUGCUAAGUUAUAGCAUUUUAUAGACAACUUGUUGACUAUGAUUUGUCUUGUAGCUUACUCGCUUAUGUUAUUUUACCUACGCUUAGGAUGUUGAACUCUAUCACACACAG
rnacentral:rRNA from 1 species